rnacentral:lncRNA from 1 species
GUAUAGUUUCCUGUAAACAUAUUGAAUAUUAAAUAUAUUCUUAUAAAAUUUAAGUUUUCAAAUUUUUCUAUUCAAGAGUUCAGUAAUAUUUAUAUUUGUCCAUCUGAUUUGUUAUCAUUAAAUUACUAUUUAUUUUUUCAUAAAAAAUAAAUGAAAUGUCAAUUUUGGCAUCACAAUUAUGUCCUUUUAAAAAUCAAAACUGCUAGAAUCGUAUUGAAAUAUCCUUCUAAAAAAUUUUCAAUUGUCAUUUUCUUUCUUUAUAAAAACUAAUCAAAUCCAUCAUUACUGCAACAUCUUCUCUACCUUUCCGCUCACUCUUUUUAUUUCUUUACCUAUCCAAUAUGGAUUCCCUGGCACCCGACAUGGAGCAAAGCAACACACAUUGUGGAUGAAUAGAGAUCAAGAAACACUAGUUACGAAUUC